rnacentral:tmRNA from 1 species
GGGGGUGACAGGUUUCGACAACGGAUGUCGUGACAGUAGAAGCGGGCCGAGGUUCAGGGCAGGUCUCGUUAACCACGCUCUGAAAAAAACAAGCGCCAAUUCAAAGCGCACCGACUUCGCUUUGGCUGCCUAAGCCAAAGACCUGAAGUCCGUCAACCCGAGGGUUCCCUCGACUCGGUGUUGGCGUCGCUAGAGGGAUCACCUUUCAUUCAGGUCACUGGGGUGAAAGGGAACCAAGAACGUGACUUGGGCCGUGUUCCCUGCAAGGCCACGAGCAACAGGGAGGCCGACCACACGUAACUGUGGCUGCGCCCGGAGAAGAACUGAAUCGAUACCGAUGGACGCGGGUUCAAUUCCCGCCACCUCCACUA